UAAGAUUAUAACCCUCGGCAUAUGUCAGACAUUUGUUUUUGUCUUCUGCCCAUGCUUUGUUCGUCUUUUGGUUAUUUCUUUCAUUAUUUAUUUUUUCUCAGCAUAGUGCUUGUUCAAUGAUUUGUUCUGCAUUUUCGUUUUGUUUUUUUGCGAUUUUUUCAUUUUCUUGUAAGAGUUUGCUUCUUUUCCCUGUAAGAAUUUGUCACCAGUGUGCACACUGGUCUGUCUGUGUGUGAUUUGAUCUGUUAUUUAUUUAUUUUUCACAUUUGUGUCUGUCCAUGAUUGUUGUCUAUGUUUUUUUAGUUUUUUAACAUUUUAUGUGGUGGAGGUUGGAGAGGCAAAGCAGAGGAACAGGUGGGGAUCAAGAAAUAGCAGCUGAAUCAGGGAAAAUUAUUCUUCCAGCCAUUCAUGCCACUGAAUGGAUUCAUUGGUGGAUCCAUUUCUCAGAGGAGGCCUUGCUAAGCACUUCAUGACUCCCUCUCUCUGAACCUUCUCAGAGGCAAUUGACUACUGAGGAUCACUGAGCUGCGUCAUCACCAUAGUUGUAGAUGUGCACAAUCUGAUUAUAGAUAUUCUCAAGCUGCUGUCAUGAAGAAUAGUACAGUAGUUUUUUUUGGAGAUUUCUUGUUUCAAAUGCAAGAAUAAAGUUAUGAAUUUGCUGCAGAUAUCCCAGGAUGGCAGACAACAAGCUCACAACCCUUCUCUGCAUGUUCCAGCUAAAAAACUGCAGUUCGAUAAAAAUGAUCCUAAAGCGGGUCGCUCAACUUUUUGAAUUAGUUGUUUUUCAACAUGAUGUAUAAACAAGAAGGGAUGGGAUUAGGCUUGCACCAUUUUUUGAGUUAUAUUUUGAUCAAGCAUUGCAUUGAUAACAUUGUAACAUGUACAAAAUAGUGUUUAAUAAAAGAAAUUAUUGGAAGGGUUUUUUAA